UGAACGCUGGCGGCGUGCUUAACACAUGCAAGUCGAACGAUGAUCCCGUGCUUGCUCNGGGGAUUAGUGGCGAACGGGUGAGUAACACGUGAGUAACCUGCCCUUAAUCUCUGGGAUAAGGCCUGGGAAACUGGGUCUAAUACCGGAUAUGACUGACUGUCGCAUGGUGGUUGGUGGAAAGCUUUUUGUGGUUUUGGAUGGACUCGCGGCCUAUCAGCUUGUUGGUGAGGUAAUGGCUUACCAAGGCGACGACGGGUAGCCGGCCUGAGAGGGUGACCGGCCACACUGGGACUGAGACACGGCCCAGACUCCUACGGGAGGCAGCAGUGGGGAAUAUUGCACAAUGGGCGCAAGCCUGAUGCAGCGACGCCGCGUGAGGGAUGACGGCCUUCGGGUUGUAAACCUCUUUCAGUAGGGAAGAAGCGAAAGUGACGGUACCUGCAGAAGAAGCGCCGGCUAACUACGUGCCAGCAGCCGCGGUAAUACGUAGGGCGCAAGCGUUAUCCGGAAUUAUUGGGCGUAAAGAGCUCGUAGGCGGUUUGUCGCGUCUGCCGUGAAAGUCCGGGGCUCAACUCCGGAUCUGCGGUGGGUACGGGCAGACUAGAGUGAUGUAGGGGAGACUGGAAUUCCUGGUGUAGCGGUGAAAUGCGCAGAUAUCAGGAGGAACACCGAUGGCGAAGGCAGGUCUCUGGGCAUUAACUGACGCUGAGGAGCGAAAGCAUGGGGAGCGAACAGGAUUAGAUACCCUGGUAGUCCAUGCCGUAAACGUUGGGCACUAGGUGUGGGGGACAUUCCACGUUUUCCGCGCCGUAGCUAACGCAUUAAGUGCCCCGCCUGGGGAGUACGGCCGCAAGGCUAAAACUCAAAGGAAUUGACGGGGGCCNGCACAAGCGGCGGAGCAUGCGGAUUAAUUCGAUGCAACGCGAAGAACCUUACCAAGGCGUGACAUGGACUGGACCGCUGCAGAGAUGGGGUU
rnacentral:rRNA from 1 species